AUUUGGUGAGGAUGUUGACUUGGUUGGAGGGAAUACUCAAAAUAAGAGCUUCUUGGGCUUAAGUAAUGUUGAACAUUGCGGGAAAAUGAGAGCAUUGGAGAAACUAAUGUCCUCUUGGGUUUCACAAAGUGACAAGAUUCUUCUUUUCAGCUAUUCUGUAAGGAUGCUGGACAUACUUGAGAAAUUUAUUAUACGCAAAGGCUAUGGUUUUUCAAGACUUGAUGGGUCCACCCCAACUGGCCUGCGCCAGUCUCUAGUUGAUGACUUCAACUCCAGUCCAAGCAAACAGGUAUUCCUAUUAUCAACAAAAGCUGGUGGCCUUGGCCUUAACCUUGUUAGCG
rnacentral:misc_RNA from 1 species